UACGUAGGGUGCAAGCGUUAUCCGGAUUUACUGGGUGUAAAGGGCGAGUAGACGGCAUUGCAAGUCAGAUGUGAAAGGCUAGGGCUCAACCUUAGGACUGCAUCUGAAACUGUAAUGCUAGAGUGCAGGAGAGGUAAGCGGAAUUCCUAGUGUAGCGGUGAAAUGCGUAGAUAUUAGGAGGAACACCAGUGGCGAAGGCGGCUUACUGGACUGUAACUGACGUUGAGGCGCGAAAGUGUGGGGAGCAAACAGG
rnacentral:rRNA from 1 species